CUUCAUAACUGGUUUCUGGAGUUCUUUUAAAGGUUUUUUGGACAAAUAUAUGUUGCUAAGUCAGUGCUUCUGUGGGGCAGUGAGGUCUGCGGCUUCUUUUUUUUUUUUUUUUUUUGAGAUGGAGUCUGCGGCUUCUUAUACUACCAAACAGCUGACAUUAUCCGUGAUAAAAGCUCACGUUUUUAAUAUCAAAACCAGAUUAUUCAUGUAAUAAUAUGACUUCCAUGAUUUUUAUGAAGACCUUAGAAGGCAUCACUGUCAUCCUUCCUUCAAGAAAAAAGAAAAACGGAACAAACUAAAAAUCGAAAAGCAUUCUUAAGUGCAUCCUAGAAUUAAGGUUACAUAACGGACUGAUGCUCUUAAAAGCAGAGAGACUUUCAAAUACAGAAAGUUGCAGCUCACCAAGAACAGAAGAUGCUAGAAGAGGAAGAAGAGGAAAACUUAAACGGUUGCUGAUCAAGUGUUGGUCACGUUGUGUGUAGAAGCUUCAGAGUUAAAAACUACUGAAGAUUCAGCCUUAAGGGUCACUGUAGUGAGCUUUAUCCCCAGGAGCUCAUCCAGAUUCUCACGGUGAAAAUAUGAAAAAAGCCCCUCAUGCUUCAGCAAAAGGAGAGGAAAACUAACCAUCAUGGCGAAUGCUCAUGAGAAAGUAACUAAUUUGAAAUAUACUAAAAGAUUAUUUUUCUCUGUCCUCAAAGGAAACCACUUUGCACGAAGUUAACUAAAGUAAAGAUCACCCAGGAAAACAGAAAAAUUUACUGGGGAAACACCUUUAUUCCCACUCAUGUUGAAUGUGAGCACACAUUCAUGAAGACUGAUUCCACCCAGACUUAUGACUGAUGACUCAACAGAUUCUGUGGCCCCACCCAGAGGCACAUAGGGACCAUUUUCCACACUCCUAUGAUUUCAUCCUCAACCAAUCAGCAGCACUUGUUCCCUGGCCUACUGCCCACCAAAUUGCCCAUAAAAACUCUAAUCUUUGAGCCUUCCUGGAGACUGAUCUGAUUUAAGUGGUAACUCCAGUUCUCCCAUGUGGGCUGGCCUCUUGACAAUAAAACUCUACUGCAAUA